rnacentral:rRNA from 1 species
GACGAACGCUGGCGGCGUGCCUAAUACAUGCAAGUAGGACGCAGUUGCGAACGGGUGAGUAACGCGUAGGUAACUGACUAUUAGAGGGGGAUAACUAAUGGAAACGAUAGCUAAUACCGCAUACUAGUAGAUGGACAUGCGUUGUAUUAGCUAGUAGGUAGGGUAAUGGCCUAACUAGGCGACGCUACAUAGCCGACCUGGGAGGUGGAUCGGCCACACUGGGACUGAGACACGGCCCAGACUCCUUCAGGAGGCAGCAGGAGGGAAUCUUCGGCAAUGGGGGGAACCCUGACCGAGCAACGCCGCGUGAGUGAAGAAGGGUGUCGGAUCGUAAAGCUCUGUUGUUAAGGAAGCGGUACUUAACCAGAAAGGGACGGCUAACUACGUGCCAGCCGCCGCGGUAAUAC